UACGUAGGGGGCUAGCGUUGUCCGGAAUCAUUGGGCGUAAAGAGCGUGUAGGCGGCUUGGUAAGUCCGCUGUGAAAGUCCAGGGCUCAACCCUGGAAUGCCAGUGGAUACUGUCAAGCUAGAGUCCGGAAGAGGCGAGUGGAAUCCUGGUGUAGCGGUGAAAUGCGCAGAUAUCAGGAGGAACACCAAUGGCGAAGGCAGCUGCGCUGGACGGUACUGACGCUGAGACGCGAAAGCGUGGGGAGCAAACAGG
rnacentral:rRNA from 1 species